GAUGAACGCUGGCAGCGUGCCUAAUACAUGCAAGUCGAGCGAACAGACGAGGAGCUUGCUCCUCUGACGUUAGCGGCGGACGGGUGAGUAACACGUGGAUAACCUACCUAUAAGACUGGGAUAACUUCGGGAAACCGGAGCUAAUACCGGAUAAUAUAUUGAACCGCAUGGUUCAAUAGUGAAAGACGGUUUUGCUGUCACUUAUAGAUGGAUCCGCGCCGCAUUAGCUAGUUGGUAAGGUAACGGCUUACCAAGGCGACGAUGCGUAGCCGACCUGAGAGGGUGAUCGGCCACACUGGAACUGAGACACGGUCCAGACUCCUACGGGAGGCAGCAGUAGGGAAUCUUCCGCAAUGGGCGAAAGCCUGACGGAGCAACGCCGCGUGAGUGUUGAAGGUCUUCGGAUCGUAAAACUCUGUUAUUAGGGAAGAACAAAUGUGUAAGUAACUAUGCACGUCUUGACGGUACCUAAUCAGAAAGCCACGGCUAACUACGUG
rnacentral:rRNA from 1 species